rnacentral:rRNA from 1 species
GAUGAACGCUAGCGGCAGGCCUAAUACAUGCAAGUCGAGGGGCAUCAGGUGUAGCAAUACAUGCUGGCGACCGGCGCACGGGUGCGUAACACGUAUGAAACCUACCCAUAACAUGGGGAUAGCCCGAAGAAAUUCGGAUUAAUACCCAAUAGUACUAUUUGAGGGCAUCUGAGGAUAGUUAAAGAUUUAUCGGUUAUGGAAGGUCAUGCGUCUGAUUAGCUAGUUGGUGAGGUAAUGGCUCACCAAGGCGACGAUCAGUAGGGGACCUGAGAGGGUGAUCCCCCACACUGGUACUGAGAUACGGACCAGACUCCUACGGGAGGCAGCAGUAGGGAAUAUUGGGCAAUGGACGAGAGUCUGACCCAGCCAUGCCGCGUGAAGGAAGAAGGCCUUCUGGGUUGUAAACUUCUUUUGAUCGGGAACAAAGAGCUCUUGCGAGAGCAGUUGAGUGUACCGAUAGAAUAAGCACCGGCUAACUCCGUGCCAGCAGCCGCCGUAAAAC